AACGAACGCUGGCGGCAUGCCUAACACAUGCAAGUCGAACGAGACCUUCGGGUCUAGUGGCGCACGGGUGCGUAACGCGUGGGAACCUGCCCUUAGGUUCGGAAUAACUCCCCGAAAGGGGUGCUAAUACCGGAUAAUGUCUUCGGACCAAAGAUUUAUCGCCUUUGGAUGGGCCCGCGUUGGAUUAGCUAGUUGGUAAGGUAAAAGCCUACCAAGGCGACGAUCCAUAGCCGGUCUGAGAGGAUGAUCAGCCACACUGGGACUGAGACACGGCCCAGACUCCUACGGGAGGCAGCAGUGGGGAAUAUUGGACAAUGGGCGAAAGCCUGAUCCAGCAAUGCCGCGUGAGUGAUGAAGGCCUUAGGGUUGUAAAGCUCUUUUACCCGGGAUGAUAAUGACAGUACCGGGAGAAUAAGCUCCGGCUAACUCCGUG
rnacentral:rRNA from 1 species